rnacentral:tRNA from 1 species
ACCUGGCUGGUUCAGUUGGUAAAGCGAGUGACUCUUGAUCUCAGAGUUGUGAGUUCAAGCCCCAUGCUGGGUG